rnacentral:tRNA from 1 species
AUCUGGCUGGCUCAGUUGGUAAAGCGUGCGACUCUUGAUCUUGGGGUUGUGGGUUCGAGCCCCAUGUUGGGUG